rnacentral:tRNA from 1 species
GCCUGGGUGGCUCAGUCGGUUGAGCGUCCGACUUCAGCUCAGGUCAUGAUCUCACAGUCUGUGAGUUCGAGCCCCACGUCAGGCU